GAGCAAUGAUUAAGGCUGCACCCUUGUGAUGGUAGGGUCCGUCACUAUCUUCUGACUUUAAGGAGGUAAAUAGGUGCCUCUGAGCUC
rfam:Ricinus communis ctg_1100012292135, whole genome shotgun sequence.